rnacentral:misc_RNA from 1 species
UUGCCCUUUUCCCUACAUUUCACCUCGUGCUCUCACGUCAAGUGAAAGUGCAAUCCUAAGAAAGGGGUAUGGAAAGAAGAUAGCGCCACUAUUGGAGUCAACUCUGGCAGGUGGUGAGGGGAAGUAAAGGUCAUACUAGUUCUCCUUUCUCGGGAGUCAGUCUUGUCUUUUAUAUAUAGGUGUGUGUGUGUGUGUGUGUGCUUUGUGGAUGCCCUUGUUGCUGAUGGGUGUCUUCCCAACUCAUCCCCUCGCGGCAGCGCGCAGGCAUACACACAAACGUGCUAGCUGCAGAGCCUUGGUCAUUGCGGCCCCGGGUUUGCCCCCAUCAAUAGUAACAACGAAGCGCACCGGCAGACGCGUACCAACACCAUGAACACGUGACGAAUGGCAAAGCAAUGAACAAGUCAUCCAUCACACAUGCGCACGCACAUGCGGAAAGGUGCUGAGUUUUCGAGAAGAAGAGUGGUAACACAAUACCGAAGCCAGAGGAGGAGAGAAAGAGAGAGAUGGGGAGGGGGCUCUGUAUAAGGUCGUAUGUAUGUGCGCAAGCACACGCUCGCUAGUGGUUUCCCUUCGGCUUCUUGUCUCUCCCUCUUGUUUUGCUUAUUUCAGCUUUUUUUUAUAGGCACGCACUCACACACACAACGAGAAAAGACAAAAGGAAAAGGGGAUGGACGAACAGAAGACAGCGAGCACAUCGUUUUUGUUUUUAUGUAUGCGAGUGUGUGUUUUUCUUCUGCACGUGCACACGAACGCACUGUCCAGCGAAACAUGGCGCACACGAAACAUACCGGCCUUCGAUGUGUGUGGUUAGCGUAAGGAGAUGACGAACGAAAAGACGGAAUCAACAGAAAAGGACGCGCCACCGUGACACGUGGUGUUGCCGAUUCAGUCCCUCGGGAAGGCAGCAAAUGGAGGGGGCCAUGGGACAAAAAAGUCUACGUACGCCACGCGCACACAGGCGCACGUGGGGCGACCGUCCCGACUCUGGCAAAGAACUCUCUCUCGGCAGCAAGCGUUGUGGGCCUCCCUCACGCUGUUGGCGAAGCUGCAGUUUCGCCGCAAAAUGUGGUGUUCCGGGCCACUGUCGAGCAGGACGUCU